AGUCUCCCAUUCUGUAAGCUUCAAUGCCCUACCCACAAUGCCAAAGGAACUAAAUGGUUGAAGGCGAGGAAGAAACCCUGGACCAAGCUUAAACAUUUCUACCACACUACUCUGCAACCACGCCAAUGUGGCCUGAACCAUUGUUCAUUGUUUAUUGGGGUGCACAAUAAAACAAGCUGUCCUCCA